GACGAACGCUGGCGGCGUGCUUAACACAUGCAAGUCGAGCGGUAAGGCCCUUUCGGGGGUACACGAGCGGCGAACGGGUGAGUAACACGUGGGUGACCUGCCCUCAGCUCUGGGAUAAGCCCGGGAAACUGGGUCUAAUACCGGAUAUGACUCCACGGUGCAUGUCGUGGGGUGGAAAGCCUUGUGCGGCUGAGGAUGGGCCCGCGGCCUAUCAGCUUGUUGGUGGGGUGAUGGCCACCAAGGCGACGACGGGUAGCCGGCCUGAGAGGGCGACCGGCCACACUGGGACUGAGACACGGCCCAGACUCCUACGGGAGGCAGCAGGUGGGGAAUCUUGCGCAAUGGGCGAAAGCCUGACGCAGCGACGCCGCGUGAGGGAUGACGGCCU
rnacentral:rRNA from 1 species